rnacentral:rRNA from 1 species
UACAGAGGGUGCAAGCGUUGUUCGGAAUUAUUGGGCGUAAAGCGCGUGUAGGCGGCUUUGCAAGUCGGGUGUGAAAGCCCUCGGCUCAACCGAGGAAGUGCGCCCGAAACUGCAGAGCUUGAGUGCCGGAGAGGAUGGCGGAAUUCCCCAAGUAGAGGUGAAAUUCGUAGAUAUGGGGAGGAACACCGGUGGCGAAGGCGGCUCACUGGACCGGAACUGACGCUGAGGCGCGAAAGCGUGGGGAGCAAACGGG